AGCGAACGCUAGCGGCGGGCCUAACACAUGCAAGUCGAGCGCAUACCUUCGGGUAUGAGCGGCGGACGGGUGAGUAACGCGUAGGUCAUCUACCCUUUGGUGGGGGAUAACCCAGGGAAACUUGGGCUAAUACCGCACGAGGUCUACGGAUCAAAGCCUUCGGGCGCCAGAGGAUGAGCCUGCGUCGCAUUACCUAGUUGGCGGGGUAACGGCCCACCAAGGGGACGAUGCGUAGCUGGUCUGAGAGGAUGAUCAGCCACACUGGGACUGAGACACGGCCCAGACUCCUACGGGAGGCAGCAGUGGGGAAUAUUGCGCAAUGGGGGAAACCCUGACGCAGCCACGCCGCGUGGGUGAUGAAGGCCUUCGGUUGUAAAGCCCUGUCGGGAGGGACGAAUUCUUGACGGUACCUCCAAAGAAAGCACCGGCUAACUCCGUGCCAGCAGCCGCGGUAAU
rnacentral:rRNA from 1 species